rnacentral:rRNA from 1 species
GGUACCUACGGGGCGCAGCAGUGGGGGAUAUUGCACAAUGGGGGAAACCCUGAUGCAGCGACGCCGCGUGGGUGAAGAAGCGCCUCGGCGCGUAAAGCCCUGUCAGCAGGGAAGAAAAUGACGGUACCUGAAGAAGAAGCCCCGGCUAACUACGUGCCAGCAGCCGCGGUAAUACGCAGGGGGCAAGCGUUAUCCGGAUUUACUGGGUGUAAAGGGGGCGCAGACGGCGAUGCAAGACAGGAGUGAAAGCCCGGGGCC